rnacentral:tRNA from 8 species
GGGUGCUUAGCUCAGUUGGUAGAGCGGCGCCCUUACAAGGCGUAGGUCAGCGGUUCGAGCCCGUUAGCACCCACCA